rnacentral:rRNA from 1 species
UACGUAGGGUGCAAGCGUUGUCCGGAAUUAUUGGGCGUAAAGAGCUCGUAGGCGGUUCGUCGCGUCGGCUGUGAAGACCCGGAGCUCAACUCCGGGCCUGCAGUCGAUACGGGCGGACUCGAGUUCGGCAGGGGAGACUGGAAUUCCUGGUGUGGCGGUGAAAUGCGCAGAUAUCAGGAGGAACACCGGUGGCGAAGGCGGGUCUCUGGGCAAUAACUGACGCUGAGGAGCGAAAGCGUGGGGAGCGAACAGG